GGGACCAGAAUCAUGUCUAGAUGCAGUUCAAGGAAACGGAAAUGGUACAGGACUGAGGCUGUGAAUUGAAUUAUAAGAAGGCCUCCCCCCAGAAGAGAGGAAAUUCCACAGCUCUGAGUUCGAGAAAUUAGGGCCUCAGAAUGCAUCUUACCAAAGUGAAAGAACUGGCGGGAAGUUUCCAGAAGUCCUUGUUGACGUCCCUUUCCUUCUGGUUUCAACAUUUCGUGAACGAUUUUGUGUUUGUGUGUGUGCAGUAAGAGGAAAGCUCCUGAGGUAUUCAGAAUAUCCUGUCCAUGGCAAGGUCUUCCCACAGUCGUGAAAGGCAUUCAAGUUUCCUAGGUGGACAGAGCAAUGAGAUCCCAAACGCACCGUCCUGCCCUUUCCGACCAUUUUGUUCACGAUUUACAGCUCCAGCCUCUUGGAUAUGUCAGAAGACAGGAAAAGAGAAAAGGAGCACACGGUCCAACUAUUAACUCACCGUCCUGGGCUUGGCGCAUUCUUAUGACCAGGGAGAAGGUGUCGAAGCUCAGGGCAGCCUUUUUACCUGCUGUGGGGAGAAAGCAGAGGGAACGGAGGGAUGAAGUAAGUUGCUGAUCACGUUAUCUUGAAGGAACCAAAAGAGCGUGGAUUCCAUAUCCAACACUCUGCUUCUUCGGUUUAUCUCAAUUCUUUCCUCUGCUGUUGCAAGAGACAAUCCAC